rnacentral:lncRNA from 1 species
GUGAUAUCCAAAAUGCACGAGGUCUAAAACUGCAGACUGCCAGAGCAAUUAAUCAGUGGAAGCCAGGGACGAGGAUUCCUGUGUGACUUGCAGAAAAUCCAUGGAUGUAUCCAGCUGCCUUCAAGCAGCAGUAACCCCUGGGGGGAAAGGCAGGAUGCAUGUCUCCACUGGUCAUCCCUAGAGACAGCUUUAAGGUCAAGAAGACAGAGUAAUGAAGACUUCCCAUCUGUAGAGAAACAACAGAAUAUUUAUUGACCUGCUGUAAAAUCGCAACCAUUGACAAUAUUAAGUAUUUUGUAACUUAGCCAGUAAAUUUAAUCUCAACACAUUUACUUUGGUUAAGCCAGAGAAAAGUACUUUUCUCUUAGUUAAGCAGGAUCCUUAGCUGGCUCAAAAAAGGAUUUUUCAGCUCCAAUAAAAAACCUAACAGCUUCUAAGGAAAAGAUACUACUGCCACAAUCCAAAUAUGAGCUUAGUUCUUAGCAAUUCUGCUGCAGAAUAUUUUCAGGGGAGUGGCUGCACUUCAUGACAUUCUUACAAAAAUAUGAAGAAUAUUAAUUUUUUCCAAUGGAAAUCAAUCCUUUCUUUUCUCCUCUGUGAAACAAGACACUCACCGUGUUUCUAUUGCUCCCGUGCUCUACAUCCACUGAGAAUGGCCUGUCAUUCUGCAAACUCUCAUGUAUUUUACAGAGUCAACAUUGCUAUUCAUCUCAUGCGACUGCAGCCAAUCUUGGCUGCCAGGUGAGACGCGAUGUUGAAACAGAGAAACCAUCUCAAGGAAAUACAAGCUCUCAAAGCGUGAAUGGCUCUGCGGAUCAGAGAAGGCAUUUUGAAUUACACCUGGAAAUGAAGCGGGGAGCAGCCGAGUCCCCAGAGCACGGGUGCAGGGAUGGGGAGGAGGAGCGGUGGCAGGGCUGGCGGUGCCACCCUCGCCCAUUAGGCUCUCGCAGGUCGGGUCUGCGCACAUCGGGGAUGAUUGGGAGCAGCUGCAAGCUGAGCCCAGUGCAGCGCUCCCAAUACAUUCCAGAUGAUGAAUAUGAUGCAGGCUUACUGGAAGAAAAAUAUAUUUCUGAAGAGAAAAACAAUUACUUCUCAAGGCAAGACAAUGAAGCUGAACCGACGCUACGUGGGCAUAAAAUAGAGCAGAACUUUUGGGCAAUGGCUUUAGCUUCUAAUAAAUCACCCACCUGGAGAUACUUUUGCAGAGUGAGCUUGGAUGUAUCAGACCUCAAGUAUUUUCAGAGGGUUUUAGCUGAUCAUAAAAGAAGAGCUAUGUGUGAACACUAUCUGGCAGCUUCAUCAUAUUCUGAGGAGAUGAGAGAGUAUGAGUCCACCAUGGUCUGA